rnacentral:rRNA from 1 species
UACGUAGGGGGCGAGCGUUGUCCGGAAUGAUUGGGCGUAAAGGGCGCGCAGGCGGCCAUUUAAGUCUGGUGUUUAAUCCCGGGGCUCAACUCCGGGUCGCACUGGAAACUGGGUGGCUUGAGUGCAGAAGAGGAGAGUGGAAUUCCACGUGUAGCGGUGAAAUGCGUAGAGAUGUGGAGGAACACCAGUGGCGAAGGCGACUCUCUGGGCUGUAACUGACGCUGAGGCGCGAAAGCGUGGGUAGCAAACAGGAUUAGAUACCCU